rnacentral:tRNA from 1 species
UCGAGGGUCGUCUAAUGGUAGGACGUUAGGCUCUGGACCUGAAAAUCGGGGUUCGAAUCCCUGCCCUCGAGCCA